rnacentral:ncRNA from 4 species
UACGUAGGGGGCGAGCGUUGUCCGGAAUCACUGGGCGUAAAGAGCGUGUAGGCGGCCCGGUAAGUCUGCUGUGAAAACCCGGGGCUCAACCCCGGGCGUGCAGUGGAAACUGCCGGGCUAGAGGGCGGCAGAGGCGAGUGGAAUUCCCGGUGUAGCGGUGAAAUGCGCAGAUAUCGGGAGGAACACCAGUAGCGAAGGCGGCUCGCUGGGCCGUCCCUGACGCUGAGACGCGAAAGCUAGGGGAGCGAACAGG